rnacentral:lncRNA from 1 species
UUUUUUCUCAAUCGGUAUGAAUAUAUUAAUAAUAGAAAGACAUUGGUAAAUACCAACCUCUUUCCUAGACAAAAAAAUAUUACAAAACACCCAGAUAAAUAAGGUAUUACAAAACAUUCAUCACCUAUGCAAACAACUAAUAGAUAAAAAGAAAAUAUAUCACCACCAAACUUUAAAUAAAGCUAAUCUUCUCACCCAUGUUAUUGCCAAAGUUGCAGCCAUACCAUUACCUUGCCCAUAAACCAAUGCGAAGUGAACACUAACCAGCUAGUUGAUACAACGAUCACUACUUAUGAGAAGAUUCCAUAACAAUCACGGCCGAGCAUUCUUAUUUAACAACCACUCCAAAACAACGCCUGAUAAGUCUUCUCUUACUAACUGGCAGCAAUCUUUGAUAAAACAUAUAUUAUACAUAUCUGGCCUUGGAGCUUUGGACUCAUCACAACUCCAUAUCACUUCCUUGAUCUCUUCCACCGUGAAAAGUAACUCAAGUUUCAUUGCAUCUUCCUUGGGUAUCUUCUUAAAGUUCAAUUCCAUAUCCACUACCCAUUUUCUCGAUGUGCAACUAAAAUAAUUACUGAAGUAAUCGAACAUUUUUUUUCUUCAACAACUUUGGAUCAUUGCACCAAGAAGCCUUAAAUUUUAGACCAUGGACCAUCUUCUUUUUUGAUCUAAUCUUUACUGCUUUAUGUAAAAAAGCAAACUUGGAAUCGC